rnacentral:rRNA from 1 species
ACGUGACAAGCUAAGGCAGGGUGUUUUCAGAGAGCGGAGGGAGUUAGGGGAAACGUGGCGCAGCGGCUUUGGGGGCGGAGGAGUAGGAGGCGUGCGGAGGUUCGGUUCGGUUCGGUUCCGGCAGCCAGAAGCGGCGGAGGAGGCUGCCGGGGGAGGAGACGGACAAGGAGUGCGGGAACUUCGCGGCCGGACUACGCUAAGGCAGGGAGCGACAUUAGUUCGGGAUCGGGCGAAGCUAAUAGCCGAGAGGCACCCGUUAGCUCUUAAGGCGGCCUAUAAAGAAGAGGUUAUUAGAUGGGUUCCAUAGCAAAGGUCCUCGGGACGGGGGUCUCAUCGGUUCUCCGGCCGCAGUCCCCGACUAAACGACGAUGAAAACUCCUCAACCCUGGGACAGCCACCGGGCAGCCGACGUCCCAGAACCAAGCACCUCAAGAAAAGUCCCGAAAAGAACCCCCAGUACCCUCGAAAGACGAGCACAAACGUUCGGCUAAUGAGGCUGGUGGUACCGUUGCUCUGAAGACCACGCAAAUCCUUGACGUACACGGAGUCCACAAAAUGGGUCGUCGACUAGUUACGAAUGUGACAAAAUAAGGCUCAACCUUGCCAGGUGAGACAAAGAGUUCGAUAUCUUCGGUGGGGUGAACUAAGUAGACUUUCAAGUAAGCUAUGUAUAGCAAGUGGAGGUUCUGGUGACGGUAUACUACUAGGAUCUAAGAGGGGAGGAGACGCGCUGACCAAACGUAGUUCCGUACUAGGAAGUUCGGUAAGUGGUCUCCUUAGUCUUGGUGAGUCUGGUUUAAUACUACGCCUCUACCUUUGCUACUCAAGUCAGCUGUUCGGUUCAUUUUGUUUGAUACUGUGUUUUUACUUUUCUUCGUCGAGACGAAUGCCUCUAUUCAACAGGGCUUUCCUUAGACCUUUAAUAAAGUGGAUGAAAAGAGGUAGAUGACUUCUACUUCUACAGACGGGUUGUACAGAACUUCUAAUAUGAAGCCUCUUAGGAUCCUAUCAUUACGUCACGAGUGUAGUGAAGGUGGAACCGACAUAGAUACUCACCUACCUUUCUUCACUCCGUACGGGACAAACACCUUUCUUUUACCUCAAGUUGCUCUGCUGAAUCUGGAGUCUGACCUGAUUCACAGAACUUAAUUGUAGAGUAUACCCUUGGACUUUUAUAUUCAUGGAUCAGGACGUUUAUGAGACAUUUAUGUGGAAACAUUCAUAACUUAGUCGUCGCACGACAUAAAUCAUAUGACCUUAAGAACUAUACAACCUUGCCACGUAUAUUUGUAAAGAAAGAAAAUAAAAAGAAAAUUUACCGGCCGUCCCCUUUGAACAAGGGGAACCAAACACGGAGUCGCGACAACGCUGUACAAAACUAAGAGUUCACUAUCAGUGACCCUCGGACAUUCGACUACUAUAAACAAUUAUAUUAUUAGUAUACUUAGGGUACCAAGACAC